rnacentral:rRNA from 1 species
UGGGGAAUAUUGCGCAAUGGGGGGAACCCUGACGCAGCCAUGCCGCGUGAAUGAAGAAGGCCUUCGGGUUGUAAAGUUCUUUCGGUAUUGAGGAAGGUUGAUGUAUUAAUAGCACAUCAAAUUGACGUUAAAUACAGAAGAAGCACCGGCUAACUCCGUGCCAGCAGCCGCGGUAAUACGGAGGGUGCGAGCGUUAAUCGGAAUAACUGGGCGUAAAGGGCACGCAGGCGGUUAUUUAAGUGAGGUGUGAAAGCCCUGGGCUUAACCUAGGAAUUGCAUUUCAGACUGGGUAACUAGAGUACUUUAGGGAGGGGUAGAAUUCCACGUGUAGCGGUGAAAUGCGUAGAGAUGUGGAGGAAUACCGAAGGCGAAGGCAGCCCCUUGGGAAUGUACUGACGCUCAUGUGCGAAAGCGUGGGGAGCAAACAGGAUUAGAUACCCUGGUAGUCCACGCUGUAAACGCUGUCGAUUUGGGGGUUGGGGUUUAACUCUGGCGCCCGUAGCUAACGUGAUAAAUCGACCGCCUGGGGAGUACGGCCGCAAGGUUA